GACAGAGGGUGCGAACGUUGUUCGGAAUUACUGGGCGUAAAGCGCGUGUAGGCUGUUCGGAAAGUCGGGUGUGAAAGCCCUGGGCUCAACCUAGGAAGUGCACUCGAAACUCCCGAACUGGAGUCCCGGAGAGGAAGGUGGAAUUCUCGGUGUAGAGGUGAAAUUCGUAGAUAUCGAGAGGAACAUCGGUGGCGAAGGCGGCCCUCUGGACGGUGACUGACGCUGAGAUGCGAAAGCGUGGGGAGCAAACAGG
rnacentral:rRNA from 1 species